rnacentral:rRNA from 1 species
UACGAGUGCCCCGAGCGUUAUCCGGAAUUAUUGGGCGUAAAGGGUGUGUAGGCGGUUUUGUUAGUCUUUUGUUAAAGCUCCCGGCUUAACCGGGAAAUGCAAGAGAUACGGCAAAACUAGAGGAUGCGAGAGGUAUGUGGAACUCAUAGUGUAGGGGUGAAAUCCGUUGAUAUUAUGGGGAACACCAAAAGCGAAGGCAACAUACUGGCGCACUCCUGACGCUGAGACACGAAAGCGUGGGUAGCGAAUGGG